ACGCUCGACACCUACGGGAGACAGCAGUGGGGAAUAUUGCACAAUGGGGGAAACCCUGAUGCAGCGACGCCGCGUGAAGGAAGAAGUAUCUCGGUAUGUAAACUUCUAUCAGCAGAGAAGAAAAUGACGGUACCUGACUAAGAAGCCCCGGCUAACUACGUGCCAGAAGCCGCGGUAAUCUGAGCGGGCUGGCAAGGC
rnacentral:rRNA from 1 species